AUUGAACGCUGGCGGCAGGCCUAACACAUGCAAGUCGAGCGGAUGAAGGGAGCUUGCUCUUGGAUUCAGCGGCGGACGGGUGAGUAAUGCCUAGGAAUCUGCCUGGCAGUGGGGGAUAACGUCCGGAAACGGGCGCUAAUACCGCAUACGUCCUGAGGGAGAAAGUGGGGGAUCUUCGGACCUCACGCUAUCAGAUGAGCCUAGGUCGGAUUAGCUAGUUGGUGGGGUAAAGGCCUACCAAGGCGACGAUCCGUAACUGGGCUGAGAGGAUGAUCAGUCACACUGGAACUGAGACACGGUCCAGACUCCUACGGGAGGCAGCAGUGGGGAAUAUUGGACGAUGGGCGAAAGCCUGAUCCAGCCAUGCCGCGUGUGUGAAGAAGGUCUUCGGAUGGUAAAGCACUUUAAGUUGGGAGGAAGGGCAGUAAGUUAAUACCUUGCUGUUUUGACGUUACCAACAGAAUAAGCACCGGCUAACUUCGUG
rnacentral:rRNA from 1 species